rnacentral:rRNA from 1 species
GAUGAACGCUGGCGGCGUGCCUAAUACAUGCAAGUCGAGCGAACAGACGAGGAGCUUGCUCCUCUGACGUUAGCGGCGGACGGGUGAGUAACACGUGGAUAACCUACCUAUAAGACUGGGAUAACUUCGGGAAACCGGAGCUAAUACCGGAUAAUAUAUUGAACCGCAUGGUUCAAUAGUGAAAGACGGUUUUGCUGUCACUUAUAGAUGGAUCCGCGCCGGAUUAGCUAGUUGGUAAGGUAACGCCUUACCAAGGCGACGAUGCGUAGCCGACCUGAGAGGGUGAUCGGCCACACUGGAACUGAGACACGGUCCAGACUCCGACGGGAGGCAGCAGUAGGGAAUCUUCCGCAAUGGGCGAAAGCCUGACGGAGCAACGCCGCGUGAGUGAUGAAGGUCUUCGGAUCGUAAAACUCUGUUAUUAGGGAAGAACAAAUGUGUAAGUAACAAUGCACGUCUUGACGGUACCUAAACAGAAAGCCACGGCUAACUACGUG